ACAUCGAAAGCUUGCUUUUGAUGGGCGUCGACCGGCGCACGGGUGAGUAACGCGUAUCCAACCUGCCCACCACUUGGGGAUAACCUUGCGAAAGUAAGACUAAUACCCAAUGACGUCUCUAGAGGACAUCUGAAAGAGAUUAAAGAUUUAUCGGUGAUGGAUGGGGAUGCGUCUGAUUAGCUUGUUGGCGGGGUAACGGCCCACCAAGGCUACGAUCAGUAGGGGUUCUGAGAGGAAGGUCCCCCACAUUGGAACUGAGACACGGUCCAAACUCCUACGGGAGGCAGCAGUGAGGAAUAUUGGUCAAUGGACGAGAGUCUGAACCAGCCAAGUAGCGUGCAGGAUGACGGCCCUAUGGGUUGUAAACUGCUUUUAUAAGGGAAUAAAGUGAGUCUCGUGAGACUUUUUGCAUGUACCUUAUGAAUAAGGACCGGCUAAUUCCGUGCCAGCAGCCGCGGUAAUACGGAAGGUCCGGGCGUUAUCCGGAUUUAUUGGGUUUAAAGGGAGCGUAGGCCGGAGAUUAAGCGUGUUGUGAAAUGUAGAUGCUCAACAUCUGCACUGCAGCGCGAACUGGUUUCCUUGAGUACGCACAAAGUGGGCGGAAUUCGUGGUGUAGCGGUGAAAUGCUUAGAUAUCACGAAGAACUCCGAUUGCGAAGGCAGCUCACUGGAGCGCAACUGACGCUGAAGCUCGAAAGUGCGGGUAUCGAACAGGAUUAGAUACCCUGGUAGUCCGCACGGUAAACGAUGGAUGCCCGCUGUUGGUCUGAAUAGGUCAGCGGCC
rnacentral:rRNA from 1 species